rnacentral:misc_RNA from 1 species
UCCCUGUUGCCAGGGCAGUUUGAGUAGAGAAAUUCAACUACUCACAAGGGUUGCGCUCGUUGAUGGACUUAACCAAACAUCUCACGACACGAGCUGACGACGGCCAUGCAACACCUGUCACUUGGUUCCAAAGGCACAGUCUCCUUUCGGAGACCUUCCAAGGAUGUCAAGCCUGGGUAAGGUUCUUCGCUUACCAUCGAAUUAAACAACACGCUCCACCGCUUGUGCGGGUCCCCGUCAAUUCCUUUAUGUUUUAGUCUUGCGACCGUACUCCACAGGCGGGAUGCUUAACGCGUUAGCUUCGCUACUACCGGGGUCGAUACCGAUAACAGCUAGCAUCCAUAGUUUACGGCGUGGACUAC